rnacentral:rRNA from 1 species
AUGUCCUCCAUGCUGAUGUUGAUCUCUUGGAAGCUUUGGAAGGAGCGCAACACGAGGGUUAUCUGAAACACCACCACUCCUCCAACGGUCAUGGUUCGCAACAUCAAAGAAGAAAUUCGUUUAUGGGUGCUCGCGGGUGCUAAACAGUUGGGUUCCGUAAUGCCGCGAGAGUGA